rnacentral:misc_RNA from 1 species
ACUCCUGGGCGCCCUGAGUG